rnacentral:misc_RNA from 1 species
AAUGAAAUUUUAGCAGACUACGUUUGAAGCCAUUUGUUUUGACAGAACGCCAUAGUGGAUUAAUGUGCGAGUUGUAUAUGUUUUGUUCAAAGACUCUGAAGUCCCUGUUUUCAUCUUCUCUCUGUAUAUGCACGUGAUUACAUAGUUUACUUUGAAGUUUCAAUAGGAUAACUAACAACCAGAUCAAAAGACUCAACCAAAGCAAAAUGAAUGACUGUGUCCUAAGAUUCGACGCCGAAAAGGCUAGAGAGGCAUGCACUGAUAUAUUGGCAGCCUUGAGCCAACCAGGAAAUGCAGAGAGAUUGGCCCGGGCUAGAGAGCUUGCUGGCACCGACAUGGUUAAAGUCAUGAGGGAGGUUUUCCCCAUAGUUACCCAGAUCCAGCUAGAGGUUAUUCAACGUUUUGGGUUUCCUGGAGAUGGUGAAGAUUUCUUCUUUGCUCAGCCCGACAAUCAUGCCGACUUAUGUUAGUUAUGUAAAUUCAAUUCAACGACAUGUGUUUUUUCGGCUUGACUUGAUCUAAUGUGACGCAAUCGAUCGGCGCUCUUGUUGUCAGUUGGUGCAGCGCAGUUUCUUCAAUUGGUCCGUUCGCUGGAGAAGGAGGACGGGGAAGUCGGGCGAUUAAGCGACGAACUUCGAGC